rnacentral:rRNA from 1 species
CCUACGGGUGGCAGCAGUGAGGAAUAUUGGUCAAUGGACGAAAGUCUGAACCAGCCAUGCCGCGUGCAGGAUGACGGCUCUAUGGGUUGUAAACUGCUUUUGUAAUAGAGUAAACCGCCCUACGUGUAGGUUCUUGCAAGUAUUUUACGAAUAAGGAUCGGCUAACUCCGUGCCAGCAGCCGCGGUAAUACGGAGGAUCCAAGCGUUAUCCGGAUUUAUUGGGUUUAAAGGGUGCGUAGGCGGUUUGAUAAGUUAGAGGUGAAAUACCGGUGCUCAACACCGGAACUGCCUCUAAUACUGGUGAUCUAGAGAGUAGUUGCGGUAGGCGGAAUGCAUGGUGUAGCGGUGAAAUGCUUAGAGAUCAUACAGAACACCGAUUGCGAAGGCAGCUUACCAAACUAUAUCUGACGUUGAGGCACGAAAGCGUGGGUAGCAAACAGGAUUAGAUACCCGAGUAGUC